GAGACAAAGAGAAGUACUGGGAAAAGGGGAACAGGAGACACACAAAGGGGUUGGAGGAAGAAAGAUACACAGUUGGGCUGAGAAAGAAUGAGACAAAGGGGGAUGGAGAGAAAGAGACAAACAUAGGUGCUGGGAAAAGGGGAACAAGUGACACACAAAGGGGCUGGGUAAAGGGGAACAAGAGACACACAUAGGAGCUGGAGAAGAGGAGAAAUAAACAAAGGGGCUGAGGCUGACAGACACACAAAAGGGGCUUGGGGAGAAAUACACACAGAAGGACUUGAGAAGAGUAAAAAUUGAAACACAAAGUUUCUGGAAGGAAGUAAGAGAUGCACAAAGGGGUGGGUUGUAAGAGACACACAAGAGGGGUGUAAGACACAGAAAUGGGAAAAAUGUGUGGAUAAUAUAUUCUAAUGUGGGUAAGACAAUCAAAAGAGGUGAU